UACGGAGGGUGCAAGCGUUAAUCGGAAUUACUGGGCGUAAAGCGCGCGUAGGCGGUUUUUUAAGUCGGAUGUGAAAGCCCCGGGCUCAACCUGGGAACUGCAUCCGAUACUGGAAGACUAGAAUGCGGGAGAGGGAGGUAGAAUUCCAUGCGUAGCAGUGAAAUGCGUAGAUAUAUGGAGGAAUACCAGUGGCGAAGGCGGCCUCCUGGCUCGACAUUGACGCUGAGGUGCGAAAGCGUGGGGAGCAAACGGG
rnacentral:rRNA from 1 species